GAACGUUGCUCAUCAUAUAUUUGCAGACUUGGAGAGGAUAUAUCGCAAUGUUAGGGGUCGGCUGUAGGAAUAAGAGCCUUGAUUAUAGUGAUGGUGGUGGAUUCUACUGCAGAGAUCAAAGUCUUCUUUUAGUUAUCAGUCAUUUUUAAUUAUGCUUUUGUUGUUGAGUCUGUAAGAGUCUUUUGGUGUUUUGAGUCUUGUUGUUUUGCCUUUUAUCCUAAAAAGUCUGUUUGAGUUAGG
rnacentral:lncRNA from 1 species